rnacentral:tRNA from 1 species
GCGGGGUUGCCGGAGUGGUCAAACGGGAUCGGCUCAAAACCGAUUGGCUUCAUGCCUACGCAGGUUCGAACCCUGCACCCCGCA